rnacentral:rRNA from 1 species
UACAGAGGUCCCGAGCGUUGUUCGGAUUCACUGGGCGUAAAGGGUGCGUAGGUGGUGGGGUAAGUCACUUGUGAAAUCUCUGAGCUUAACUCAGAACGGCCAAGUGAUACUGCAGUGCUAGAGUGUGGAAGGGGCAAUCGGAAUUCUUGGUGUAGCGGUGAAAUGCGUAGAUAUCAGGAGGAACACCGGUGGCGAAGGCGGUUCUCUGGGCAUUACCUGACGCUGAGGAGCGAAAGUGUGGGGAGCGAACAGG